GUUUUUAUAAUUUAAUUAUAAAAUAUUGGUCUUGUAAAUCAAAUUUAAGAAAACUCUUUAAAAACU
rnacentral:tRNA from 1 species